rnacentral:rRNA from 1 species
UCGAGAAUCUUCGGCAAUGGGCGCAAGCCUGACCGAGCGACGCCGCGUGCGGGAUGAAGGCCUUCGGGUUGUAAACCGCUGUCGGAGGGGAGGAAAUGCGCGGGGGUUCUCCCUCGCGUUUGACCUAGCCUCAAAGGAAGGACGGGCUAAGUUCGUGCCAGCAGCCGCGGUAAGACGAACUGUCCAAACGGUACUCGGAAUUACUGGGCUUAAAGGGUGCAUGGGCGGCUCAGAAAGUUGGGUGUGAAAGCCCUCGGCUUAACCGAGGAGGGUCGCCCAAAACUACUGAGCUUGAGGAAGACAGGGGUGCGCGGAACUUGCGGUGGAGCGGUGAAAUGCGUUGAUAUCGCAAGGAACACCAGGGGCGAAAGCGGCGCACUGGGUCUUUUCUGACGCUGAGGCACGAAAGCUAGGGGAGCGAAGAG